rnacentral:rRNA from 1 species
UACGUAGGGGGCCAGCGUUGUCCGGAUUUAUUGGGCGUAAAGAGCGCGUAGGCGGCCGGAUAAGUCCGACGUGAAAUCUCGAGGCUCAACCUCGAGCGGUCGUUGGAAACUAUUCGGCUAGAGUCCGGAAGAGGAGAGUGGAAUUCCCGGUGUAGCGGUGAAAUGCGCAGAUAUCGGGAAGAACACCUAUGGCGAAGGCAGCUCGCUGGGCCAUUCCUGACGCUGAGACGCGAAAGCUAGGGGAGCGAACAGGAUU